rnacentral:rRNA from 1 species
UACAGAGGUCCCAAGCGUUGUUCGGAUUCAUUGGGUGUAAAGGGUUCGUAGGCGGUGUGGCAAGUCGGGAGUGAAAUCUCUGGGCUCAACUCAGAGACUGCUUCCGAAACUGCUGUGCUGGAGUGUGGGAGAGGCGCGUGGAAUUGCAGGUGUAGCGGUGAAAUGCGUAGAUAUCUGCAGGAACACCCGUGGCGAAAGCGGCGCGCUGGACCACUACUGACGCCGAGGAACGAAAGCUAGGGGAGCAAACAGG